ACGACGCUGGCGGCGUGCCUAACACAUGCAAGUCGAGCGGAGUCGAUCGACGGAAGCCUUCGGGCGGAAGAUGGUUGACUUAGCGGCGGAUGGGUGAGUAACGCGUGGGCAACCUGCCUCGAAGACCGGGAUAACAGCCCGAAAGGGCUGCUAAUACCGGAUGUGGUCAAGGAUCCGCAUGGAUUUUGAUUAAAGGGGAAACCCGUUUCGAGAUGGGCCCGCGUCCUAUCAGCUAGUUGGUGAGGUAAAAGCUCACCAAGGCGACGACGGGUAGCCGGCCUGAGAGGGUGACCGGCCACACUGGAACUGAGACACGGUCCAGACUCCUACGGGGGGCAGCAGUGGGGAAUCUUCCACAAUGGGCGAAAGCCUGAUGGAGCGACGCCGCGUGAGCGAAGAAGGCCUUCGGGUUGUAAAGCUCUGUCUGGAGGGACGAAGGAAGUGACGGUACCUCCGGAGGAAGCCACGGCUAACUACGUG
rnacentral:rRNA from 1 species